rnacentral:rRNA from 1 species
AGCUCCAGUAGCGUAUAUUAAUUUUGUUGCAGUUAAAAAGCUCGUAGUUAGACUUUUGUUCGUGUGGUACGGGUCCGGACCUAACGGUCUGUGUGCCAUGUCUCACCGGACUUUUUUAACUUUGGCAGUGGUUCAUUCUGCUGUCGUAAGUUAACUUUUACUUUGAGUAAAUUGGAGUGUUUAAAACAGGCAUACGCUUUGAACAUAUUAGCAUGGAACAAUAAUAUAGGACUAUAGGUUCUUUUUGUUGAUUUCUGAACCCGUAGUAAUGAUCGAUACGAAAGAUUGGGGGUGCUAGUAUUCUGAGGCCAGAGGUGAAAUUCUCGGAUUCUCUGAAGACUAACUUAUGCGAAAGCAUUCACCAAGUUCUUUUCGUUUA